rnacentral:lncRNA from 1 species
UUCUUCUUCCUGCAUUCCUUUGCGUUCCUUUGUCUAAGGUGGCUUUUCAGGUUUGGGUUCCCUGGUCACCUCACUGAGCUCCCACAGAGCUUGUUGAAGCCCAUACUGCCAUUACUCAGGGUAUAAAGAGAACCCAUGGUCAUUAUGUAGUGCUGAAGGAGAUCAUGUUCCUCCUGGGUGAUGGCUUCGUGUUGUAACAAAAUUAUCACUUCCUUCAUUUCAGUGAGGCCGAAUGGAAAGGGAAUGGCUUUGGAACAAGAUUUCACUGGAUCCAAGGGCUGGCUCUACUUAUAAGCUACAUAGUGCCAGGAAAACAGCAUUUCUCAGCGAGACUCCUGCCUUUGCUUAG